CACUUGAUAGCAUAUGGUGUGCACCUGCUUCACUUGGUUGGGAAUUGUCAUGGUUUAUGCAGGAGGUCUCGGUUCGAUUCCGGGUCGGGUGA